rnacentral:lncRNA from 13 species
UAAAUGAGCGCGUAUUUUUUUUACAGCACGUGGAGACCACCCACCCGUCGCCAAACCAUUGGUAGCCGCGGUAGGCGACGCGGUGAGGCAGGUAAGACAGCCAUUGUUGCUCUCCUUUCUUACCGCGCCACUUGCCGCGGUGGCCUAUAGUUUGGCGACGGACGAGCGGUCUCCGCGUGCGGUGGGUAGGGAAAAUACGCGCUUAUUUGACAAACUUUACUAAUUUUUAUUUUGAUAACUAUUGCGAAUAAUGAAAAAUAGUAAAGGACUUUUCUUCUCAGUAUGACUUGCUCUAUUAACCCACGAGAGCACAAGUUUUAGUUUUCUGAUUAGAUAUAUAUGUACAUAUAUGUAUACCCUGUAUAUGUGUGUGUGUGUGUGUGUGUGUGUGUGUGUGUGUGUGUCAUCCGAAUGUUUUCAAUAGCGAAAACUUUAUUAUUAUCCAUUUUUAUAUUUCCGUUUGUCAGUGUUGCCUGCUCGGACACAGGUGGCGGGGAGUCAGGCUCACCAUCAGGCACGAUAAACCCGAAUGAUGAGUGUACCCUCUCUCAAUAGCGUGAUCACUAAUUAUAUCGUUGUAUUUAAUAAUACACAGCAAAGUACUAUGUUUUCACUGUCCUAAAAUCCAACAAAACCAUAUUUCUCCAUAGUAGUAGAGAUUGUUCUCUAAAAUAGAAGAUAGUCUGUCAUAAUACAAAA